GACGAACGCUGGCGGCGUGCCCAAUACAUGCAAGUCGAACGCACUCUCGUUUAGAUUGAAGGAGCUUGCUCCUGAUUGAUAAACAUUUGAGUGAGUGGCGGACGGGUGAGUAACACGUGGGUAACCUGCCCUAAAGUGGGGGAUAACAUUUGGAAACAGAUGCUAAUACCGCAUAAAACCUAACACCGCAUGGUGUAGGGUUGAAAGAUGGUUUCGGCUAUCACUUUAGGAUGGACCCGCGGUGCAUUAGUUAGUUGGUGAGGUAAAGGCUCACCAAGACCGUGAUGCAUAGCCGACCUGAGAGGGUAAUCGGCCACACUGGGACUGAGACACGGCCCAGGACUCCUACGGGAGGCAGCAGUAGGGAAUCUUCCACAAUGGACGAAAGUCUGAUGGAGCAACGCCGCCGUGAGUGAAGAAGGUUUCGG
rnacentral:rRNA from 1 species